GACGAACGCUGGCGGCGUGCCUAACACAUGCAAGUCGAACGGAACUGUUUUGAAAGAUUUCUUCGGAAUGAAUUUGAUUUCGUUUAGUGGCGGACGGGUGAGUAACGCGUGAGUAACCUGCCUUCAAGAGGGGAAUAACAUUCUGAAAAGAAUGCUAAUACCGCAUGACAUAUCGGAACCACAUGGUUUUGAUAUCAAAGAUUUUAUCGCUUGAAGAUGGACUCGCGUCCGAUUAGUUAGUUGGUGAGGUAACGGCUCACCAAGACCGCGAUCGGUAGCCGGACUGAGAGGUUGAGCGGCCACAUUGGGACUGAGACACGGCCCAGACUCCUACGGGAGACAGCAGUGGGGGAUAUUGCGCAAUGGGGGCAACCCUGACGCAGCAACGCCGCGUGAAGGAUGAAGGUUUUCGGAUUGUAAACUUCUUUUAUUAAGGACGAAAAAUGACGGUACUUAAUGAAUAAGCUCCGGCUAACUACGUG
rnacentral:rRNA from 1 species